CCUGGUUGAUCCUGCCAGUGGUCAUAUGCUUGUCUCAAAGAUUAAGCCAUGCAUGUCUAAGCAUGAGCCGAAUAAUGGUGAAGCCGCGAAUGGCUCAUUACAACAGCCGUUGUUUCUUGGAUCUUGAUUUACUUGGAUAACUGUGGUAAUUCUAGAGCUAAUACAUGUGAAAAAGCUCCAACCUUACGGAAGGAGUGCAUUUAUUAGACCAAGACCAAUCAGGCUUUGCCUGUAAUCUGGUGACUCUGAAUAGCUUUGCUGAUCACACGGUCCUAGCACCGGUGACAUAUCUUUCAAGUGUCUGCCCUAUCAACUUUCGAUGGUAGUUUACGUGCCUACCAUGGUUGUAACGGGUAACGGAGAAUAAGGGUUCGACUCCGGAGAGGGAGCCUGAGAAAUGGCUACCACAUCCAAGGAAGGCAGCAGGCGCGCAAAUUACCCACUCUCAGUACGAGGAGGUAGUGACGAAAAAUAACGAGAUGGUUCUCUAUGAGGCCCAUCAUCGGAAUGGGUACAAUUUAAACCCUUUAACGAGGAUCUAUUGGAGGGCAAGUCUGGUGCCAGCAUCCGCGGUAAUUCCAGCUCCAAUAGCAUAUGCCAACGUUGUUGCUGUUAAAAAGCUCGUAGUUGGAUUUUUUCUGAGGAUGGAGUCGGUCUGACGGACCUGUACUCUAUUCCAAGGAUAUAAUCGCUGGUCUUCCCAUGGUUCUCUUUAUUGGGUGCCUUGGGUGGCUAGCACGUUACUUUGAAAAAAUUAGAGUGCUCAAAACAGGCGUUACUGCCCGUAUAGUGGUGCAUGGAAUAAUGGAAUAGGAUCUCGGUUCUAUUUUGUUGGUUUUAGGAGCGCGAGAUAAUGAUUAAGAGGGACAGACGGGGGCAUUCGUAUUGCGGCGUUAGAGGUGAAAUUCUUGGAUCGCCGCAAGACGAACAAUUGCGAAAGCAUUUGCCAAGAAUGUUUUCAUUAAUCAAGAACGAAAGUUAGAGGUUCGAAGGCGAUCAGAUACCGCCCUAGUUCUAACCGUAAACGAUGCCAAUUAGCGAUCUGCUGGCGUUAAUCAUGACCCAGCAGGCAGCUUCCCGGAAACGAAAAUCUUUCGGUUCAGGGGGAAGUAUGGUUGCAAAGCUGAAACUUAAAGGAAUUGACGGAAGGGCACCACCAGAUGUGGAGCCUGCGGCUUAAUUUGACACAACACGGGAAAACUCACCCGGCCCGGACACUGUAAGGAUUGACAGAUUGAUAGCUCUUUCUUGAUUCAGUGGGUGGUGGUGCAUGGCCGUUCUUAGUUGGUGGAGCGAUUUGUCUGGUUAAUUCCGAUAACGAACGAGACUCUAGCCUGCUAAAUAGUCUGCAGAUCGC
rnacentral:rRNA from 1 species